rnacentral:miRNA from 1 species
AUCAUCCAGGGAUCUUGUUAAAAAGGCAUAUUCUGAUUCAUGUAGAGGUGGUGUCUGAAAUUCUGCAUUUCUAAUGAGUUCCCAGGCAAUAC